rnacentral:rRNA from 1 species
GACGAACGCUGGCGGCGUGCCUAAUACAUGCAAGUGGAACGCAUUGGUAACACCGGACUUGCUCCAGUGUUACUAAUGAGUCGCGAACGGGUGAGUAACGCGUAGGUAACCUGCCUGAUAGCGGGGGAUAACUAUUGGAAACGAUAGCUAAUACCGCAUAAGAGGAGUUAACUCUUGUUAACUGUUUAAAAGAAGCAAUGGCUUCACUAUCAGAUGGACCUGCGUUGUAUUAGCUAGUAGGUAGGGUAACGGCUUACCUAGGCAACGAUACAUAGCCGACCUGAGAGGGUGAACGGCCACACUGGGACUGAGACACGGCCCAGACUCCUACGGGAGGCAGCAGUAGGGAAUCUUCGGCAAUGGACGCAAGUCUGACCGAGCAACGCCGCGUGAGUGAAGACGGUUUUCGGAUCGUAAAGCUCUGUUGUAGGGGAAGAACGUGUGUAAGAGUGGAAAGCUUACACAG